AACGUAGGUGGCGAGCGUUAUCCGGAUUUACUGGGCGUAAAGGGUGUGCAGGCGGGCUGUUAAGUGGUGUAUGAAAUAUCCCGGCUCAACCGGGAGAGGUUAUGCCAGACUGGCAGUCUAGAGAGCGAGAGAGGGACGUGGAAUUCCGGGUGUAGUGGUGAAAUGCGUAGAGAUCCGGAGGAAUACCAGUGGCGAAGGCGGCACGCUGGGCCAUAACUGACGCUAAGACGCGAAAGCAUGGGUAGCGAACGGG
rnacentral:rRNA from 1 species